rnacentral:rRNA from 1 species
CUACGGGGGGCACCAGUAAGGAAUAUUGCGCAAUGGAGGCAACUCUGACGCAGCCAUUCCGCGUGCAGGAAGAAGGCCUUAUGGGUCGUAAACUGCUUUUAUUUAGGAAUAAACCCCCGAACGUGUUCGGGGCUGAAGGUACUAAACGAAUAAGCACCGGCUAACUCCGUGCCAGCAGCCGCGGUAAUACGGAGGGUGCAAGCGUUAUCCGGUUUUAUUGGGUUUAAAGGGUGCGCAGGCGGGCUAUUAAGUCAGUGGUGAAAUCCCGGGGCUCAACUCCGGAACUGCCAUUGAUACUGAUAGUCUUGAGUUUGGUUGAAGUGGGCGGAAUGUAGCAUGUAGCGGUGCAAUGCAUAGAUAUGCUACAGAACACCAAUCGCGAAGGCAGCUCACUAAGCCAAAACUGACGCUCAUGCACGAAAGCGUGGGGAUCAAACAGGAUUAGAUACCCCUGUAGUC